GAUGAACGCUGGCGGCGUGCCUAAUACAUGCAAGUCGAACGAGAUUUUAUUAAUUGAUUACUUCGGUAUGAUUUUUCUAAAAUCGAGUGGCGGACGGGUGAGUAACACGUGGGUAACCUGCCCUUAAGUAGGGGAUAACAUUUGGAAACAGAUGCUAAUACCGUAUAAACCUCAGAAACACAUGUUUCUGAGUUGAAAGGCGGCUUUCGAGCUGUCGCUUUUGGAUGGACCCGCGGCGUAUUAGCUAGUUGGUGAGGUAAAGGCUCACCAAGGCAGUGAUACGUAGCCGACCUGAGAGGGUGAUCGGCCACAUUGGGACUGAGACACGGCCCAAACUCCUACGGGAGGCAGCAGUAGGGAAUCUUCCACAAUGGACGAAAGUCUGAUGGAGCAACGCCGCGUGAGUGAAGAAGGUUUUCGGAUCGUAAAACUCUGUUGUUGGAGAAGAACACGUUUGAGAGUAACUGUUCAGACGUUGACGGUAUCCAACCAGAAAGCCACGGCUAACUACGUGCCAGCCGCCGCCGUAACAC
rnacentral:rRNA from 1 species